rnacentral:rRNA from 1 species
GAUGAACGCUGGCGGCGUGCCUAAUACAUGCAAGUCGAGCGGACGGACGAUAAUCUUGCUGCUCUGAUGUUAGCGGCGGACGGGUGAGUAACACGUGUAUAACCUACCUAUAAUACUGGGAUAACUUCGGGAAACCGGAUCUAAUACCAUAUAAUAUUUUGAACCGCAUGGUUCAAAAGUGAAAUACGGUCUUGCUGUCACGUAUAGAUGGAUCCCGGCUGCAUUAGCUAGUUGGUCCGGUCACUGCUUACGAAGGCAACGCUGCAUGUCCGACCUGAGAGGGUGAUCGGCCACACGGGAGCUGAGACGCGGUCCAGAGGCCUACGGUAGGGAGCAGUAGGGAAUGGUACGCAAUAGGCGGAAGCAUUACGGAACAAGGGCGCGUGAGUGAUGACAGUCCUCCGAUCGUAAAACUGUGUUAUUAGGGAAGAACAGAUGUGUAAGUAAAUGUGCAGAUCGUGACGGUACCUGAUAAGAAAGCAACGGCUAACUACGUG